UACGUAGGGUGCAAGCGUUGUCCGGAAUUAUUGGGCGUAAAGAGCUCGUAGGCGGCUUGUCACGUCGACUGUGAAAACCCGGGGCUCAACUCCGGGCCUGCAGUCGAUACGGGCUGGCUUGAGUGCGGUAGGGGAGACUGGAAUUCCUGGUGUAGCGGUGAAAUGCGCAGAUAUCAGGAGGAACACCUAUUGCGAAGGCAGCUCGCUGGGACGUAACUGACGCUGAGACGCGAAAGCGUGGGGAGCAAACAGG
rnacentral:rRNA from 1 species